AUUCCAGCUCCAAUAGCGUAUAUUAAAGUUGUUGCAGUUAAAAAGCUCGUAGUUGAAUUUCUGUACAGUCCCGGUUCUGGCUUCGGUCAAGCCGUGGAUUGUGCAUCCGCUUGCAAAUCUAGCUCGGCCUUCACUGGUCGACUAGGGGAGUAAGCCCUUUACUUUGAAAAAAUUAGAGUGUUUCAGGCAGGCAGUGGCUCGAAUACAUUAGCAUGGAAUAAUGGAAUAGGACUUUUGUCCAUUUGGUUGGUUAUUGGACAUGAGUAAUGAUUAAAAGGGACAGUUGGGGGCAUUAGUAUUUAAUAGUCAGAGGUGAAAUUCUUGGAUUUAUUAAAGACUAACUUAUGCGAAAGCAUUUGCCAAGGAUGUUUUCAUUA
rnacentral:rRNA from 1 species